AGUCACAAUGUAAACUUCUGCUACGCAGGACAUCUGAUAUGUGACCCCUGUGGAAAGAUUGUUCUACAGCGAGAGUCGCAACCCACGGGUUGAGGACUACUUCUUUAAGUAUCUUACUUUCUGGGCUCUGACCCAGUAUGUGAUCUGUAUCUCUACUGGGACACCAGAGUGUUGGGGGCAGGUACCUUGGGUCCCAAUUUUCAGAAGCUGAAGGGGACCACUUCCAGUAUGGGAACUGAACAGAACACUUGUUACCAUAAGUGAAAGAAGCCACUAGGAUUCAAGGAACAUCUGAACAGCCUUUGAUGUAUAAGAGUAUCCCUAGUAGCGAAAAGGAAAAGACUAAAUGGUAUUGUAUCCACACUGAGCCUACUCCAUUUUAUAAGUGUCUUUCAUGUCCAAAAUAGCAUUUUAAAGUAGACAAGACAUCUUCACAUUCUUGAAGAAUACUUAUGUGUUAGUCAGACAUUGUAUCACUGUGACGGAAUGCCUGACAUGACUUGAAGAGAGGAAUGAUUUAUUUGCUCAGCAUUUCAGAGGGUUUAGACAAUCCGCGGUUGCUUGGCAACAGGGGCUUGGGUAGCAUACUGUGGCAUUGGGGCUAUGUGGUGGAGGAUGAAGGGGGGGUGCGGCUGAAAGGGGGGCAACAUGAACAGGAUAACACUGGCCAGAACAUGUUCCUGGUGACCUGCGUCCUCUAACUAGGCCCCACCCGGGUGCCUUGCCACAAGGAAACUGGUUGGACAGGUAGUCAUAUGCUGAUCCAAGAUUUGGCUGCACAGCUCCCAACAAAACCCUGUAGUCUCUUGUUCAAGGGCAAAUGAGGAAGAUUCACAUUGGCUCUCUCAAUUGGAGUUCCUCCCCCCACUCCAGGACGACACUGAACGACACCACAGAAGCUACUGGACAGUGUAGUGAACUCAGGCUGUUGAAUGGUUCAGUGUUUCCAAGACUAAAGAUGAAAAAUCAUCCAGAAUAAUAAAGCAAAGGGUAUAAA